UAAAAAAUGAAGUUGCGAUGAAUGACAAGCAAAAUUCCGAUUAGUGUUAAUCCAGUCUUGAAAAUUAUUUUUUGGUUGUUGGAAAAGACUGAAGCAUAUAUUAAUUUUCACAUCUGGGAUAUUUACUAUAUUUUUAUUUAUAUUUAUUUCUUUAUCAAUUUUAUCCCUGACUUUACAUCGGUUCUGAGUAAUUAAUAAGUUGAAAAAUGUGGUUGAAUCACCGUAAACAUAGAUAUUUAGAUUGUAACGUGUUUUUCUGCUAUUAAUUGAGUGUAUCAAUGCAAUAAUCGGACGCACGCUCUGAUGGUAGUCCGGUAGCAGUGGGAGAGCCAUUGACUAAACUAUAAUAAUAAAAAUGUCAAAAUUUAUAACUAAUCGAAAUACUAAAUUAAGAUCGACUGACAAUAGUUAAGUUUUUCUGCACAUACCGGUGUUUCGAAGGAAGUUUUCUAAAUGUCAUAAGCAUUAAAUGGUUACUCACAACAAAGUUCAAAUAACUAAAACUCAAAAGUUUCGAAUGUGGAUUGGUGCUAUUGUGACGCUAAUCACAAAAAAUACUUAACGUCACAACCCGUCUCAACCCGAAAAGAUUAGUGAAGAUAAAUUAAUAAAUAAUACAAGUUAUUUCUCUAAAAUCGGGACAUUACCUAAACGGGACUUUAAAAAUAUACUUUAAAAACAAAAAGAAAUCUGCUAUUCCGGAAAACCUAUUGGUUGAUCAACAAAUAUAAUAAAUGGAAUAAUAUCAUGAAUAGGGGAAUCCUAUAAGGAAAACGUACAACACUUUUAUAUUUUAAUACAAGUAAAAUUGUUAGAAUUAACCAGAGCGGAGUGAAUUGUAAGCAAGUGAACUAUGAAGAAGUGAAAUAUAACGAAGUGCAUCGCAAAAACGUAAAUGUUAACUGUAACUAGACUGGAUAUCUCAUGAUAAAUCUAGCAGCGGUUUUCCAGUAAACAAGGGUAUAGGGGCAUGAAUAAGGGAGUGAAGGUAAUGAAGGGAAAAAAGAAAGAAAAUGUUUUCUUAACAAAUGAAGGAACGUAAAAAGUGAGUAAGUGAACAUAAGAAAGGUGCAGAAAUUUGUGAUACUUUGUCGGAGCAAAUUAACAAAGCACUAACAAUAAGCAAUUAUUCCAAAUUGAACCUGUUUCCAAUAAAAAUAACAUACAACAGAUAUUCUACCAAGAUGGACAGAGGCAAAAUACUUGUAUUAUGUCUCUGUCUAUACGAGCAGAACUCGAAAGAAAAAGGCGAAAUAAUGCAAUGAUAUAAAAAAAUUGUUGCUUACUCGAUAAAACCACAAUAAAGAAUGAUAAAAAAGACGUUGUAUGUUUAUCUUUUAAGACAAUUCGAUAGAUUAGGCUUUCGGACUUUUAACAAUUCGAUCUUUUGAUAUAAUUCGGUUAUUCGACAUUUUGGAUUUCAAUCAAUUGAUAAUUUAAACUUUUGAGAUUUAGAACAAAAUAAGGCGACUCCUUGAUAAAAUUAAUAUUGUUUAUUUGAAUAAAAACGCCUAAAUAAUUUCCAGUUCAAUAUGUUUUACUGGAAUUUUUCGUAUAAAAAAAUUAUUUCAAUUUUAUUUCUACAACAUUGAAGGCUUUCAUUUUUUAAAUGUGACACGCUAAUUUUUACAACUGUUUCUCAUUUUGUAGAAAAUUACCUUAGAAUUAAGAGUCAUUCAGGGUGUCUAACGGUCAGGGAAAAGUCUGGGAAUUUCAGAAAAUUUCAUUCAAAGUCAGGGAAAUUACUGUAAAUUUUUACAAAAAUUAAAAUUUUUUUAAUCUAAAAAAACUUGAAUGGUUUUUAUUACCAUUUGUUACUACCAUUAGAAAUUAAUUUAUUGUUAAAUAUGUCAAUAACCAUAUUUUUGUCCAAAGAAAGCAGAAAUAAAGUUAUUAAAAAGUCAGGGAAAAAUAAAAAAAUGUCAAGGAGGAGUCAGGGAAUUAUUUUCUCAAUCCUUGUUAGACAGAAUGACUCAUUCUUUUCGUGUCAUACUUUUCGUAUGGGAGUGAGAAUUAUUUUUUAAACAAAUAACAAUAUUUCCAAACGGUGCAUUUUGGUGAAGAUGUUAAAAAUUAUGUUUUUAAAGAAAUAGGUCCUUAUUUGUUUGAAUCGGAUCAUUUUUAAAAAAUUUUAUAGAAGAAAUAUUAAGAAAAUUUUGAUCAUAUGUAAAAUAUAGAAAUAAAUAAUUGGUGUAUUAUUAUUAUUAUUAAUAAUAUUAUUAAUAAUAAUAUUUUGAUUUUUUAAAUGUCAAAUAAAUAUUUUUUCUGGAGGUUUGUAUCCGGGUACAAACAUUCUA